rnacentral:rRNA from 1 species
UACGAAGGGGGCUAGCGUUGUUCGGAAUUACUGGGCGUAAAGCGUGCGCAGGCGGUGAUGCAAGACAGAUGUGAAAUCCCCGGGCUUAACCUGGGAACUGCAUUUGUGACUGCAUGGCUGGAGUGCGGCAGAGGGGGAUGGAAUUCCGCGUGUAGCAGUGAAAUGCGUAGAUAUGCGGAGGAACACCGAUGGCGAAGGCAAUCCCCUGGGCCUGCACUGACGCUCAUGCACGAAAGCGUGGGGAGCAAACAGG